rnacentral:rRNA from 1 species
AUGCUUAAAAUUGAUCUUGCUAAAGCGUUCGAUCAUCUUGAAUGGAGUUUCAUUGUUUCUGCGCUUACACAUAAAGGGCUGCAUAGUCAUUUUAUAAAUUUAGUUCAUGCAUGCAUCUCUUCGCCCACGUUUUCUGUUGUUAUUAAUGGUCAACCAUCUCAUAAGUUUAAAAAUUCUCGGGGUAUUCGACAAGGUUGUCCUAUGUCUCCUUAUUUAUUUGUCCUUGCUAUUAAUGAAUUGUCCAUUGCUCUUAAUGAGGCUCUUGCAGCUCAUCAUCUUCAGGGCAUUUCCCUUGGACCAAACUGCCCCUCCAUUCACUCAAUAUUUUUGCAGAUGACUUGUUGGUUUGUGGACAGGCCACUCUUCAGGAGGCUACCACUAUGGCUAAUCUGA